rnacentral:rRNA from 1 species
AAAUGAAUUGACGGGGAGACGCACAAGCAGUGGAUUAUGUGGUUUAAUUCGACGGUAAACGAAGAACCUCACCAGGAUUUGAAACCAAGUUGAAAGGUCUAGAAAUAGAUCCCUCGCAAGACAAUUUGGCAGGUGAUGCAUGGCCGUCGUCAGUUCGUGGUUUGAACUGUUCCCUUAAGUGGGGUAACGAACGCAACCCUCAUCGUAUGUUAUACGUGUCAUACGAGACUGCCCCUCAUCAGGGGAGGAAGGAGAGGAUGACGCCAGGUCAGCAUGUCCCUUUGACAUCCUGGGCUACACACAUAAUACAAUCGCACUGACAGCGGGUCGCGACGGGGUAACCCUGAGCCAAUCCUCAAACAGUGCGCCAGUUCAGAUUGAGGUCUGAAACUCGACCUCAUGAAGUAGGAAUUGCUAGUAAUUGCGGGUCAGCUAUACCGCAGUGAAUACGUUCUCGUCUCUUGUACACACCGCCCGU